CGAUCACCUCCAGGUCGCUGCACUGCAGCUCCAUCGCCGACAGGUCGUACAGCGGGCUGACGGCACAAACAGCUCGGUCAUGGGAGGCAUUUACAAAUCACUUCUCUCAUCUAACUUCUGCCACAUUGUGAAUUAAAUUAAAGGAGAGAGUCUUAGACAUGAGGAGAGGAAGCGAGGAAAGGAGUCAAGGAGGCACAAACUGAGUCAAGUUUGAGAGACUCCGAGAGAAACGUGAUGUAAUGUGGCGUCCCGUCCUUCGUCUCUCUACCUGUUCUUGUCGAUGAUGUGGCAGAUGAUGAGCGGGGCGAGCAGGAACAGGCUGUUGCUCGCCACGGCGCUCUCCGUCUGGACGUCGAUCUGAUGGAUGGGGAUCACCUCGCCCUCCGGUGUGGUCGUCUUCCUCACCACCUGCAGGCGGAUUGCUGCCCUGAUUAAUCAUGAAAUCUCCGAUGCGAAUCAUAAAACACAGUCGGUUGUUUCUGACGGCGAUCACGGCGUGACGGCUGAAGAUCAGCGUCUCCGCUCGACGGUUCGACUGAGCCGUCUUCAUGAAGAUACAACCUGAGGACGGGACGAGAC